rnacentral:rRNA from 1 species
UACAGAGGGUGCAAGCGUUGUCCGGAAUCACUGGGCGUAAAGGGUGCGUAGGCGGGUCUUUAAGUCAGGGGUGAAAUCCUGGAGCUCAACUCCAGAACUGCCUUUGAUACUGAGGAUCUUGAGUUCGGGAGAGGUGAGUGGAACUGCGAGUGUAGAGGUGAAAUUCGUAGAUAUUCGCAAGAACACCAGUGGCGAAGGCGGCUCACUGGCCCGAUACUGACGCUGAGGCACGAAAGCGUGGGGAGCAAACAGG